CAAUAGCGUAUAUUAAAGUUGUUGCGGUUAAAAAGCUCGUAGUUGGAUUUCUGCUGAGAACGACCGGUCCGCCCAUUGGGUGUGUAUCUGGCUCUUUCUUGGCAUCUUCUUGGUGAACGUUACUGCACUUGACUGUGUGGAGCGCUACCCAGGACUUUUACUUUGAGGAAAUUAGAGUGUUUCAAGCAGGCAUACGCCUUGAAUACGUUAGCAUGGAAUAAUAAGAUAGGACCUCGGUUCUAUUUUGUUGGUUUCUAGAGCUGAGGUAAUGAUUAAUAGGGAUAGUUGGGGGCAUUCGUAUUUAACUGUCAGAGGUGAAAUUCCUGGAUUUGUUAAAGACGGACUACUGCGAAAGCAUUUGCCAAGGAUGUUUUCAUUGA
rnacentral:rRNA from 1 species